rnacentral:rRNA from 1 species
AAAGCAUACAGCUCUUCUCAAAGUGACUUGUAAUCCUCUCCUUCAAGUACUAUGUAUUCAUAUACCCAUAGUAUGUUGUAGAAUGUGAUCAAUGGGCCUAAGUGCCUAUAACAAUCAUAUACAACUUUCAGCAACGGAUCUCUUGGCUCUCGCAUCGAUGAAGAACGCAGCGAAAUGCGAUAAGUAAUGUGAAUUGCAGAAUUCAGUGAAUCAUCGAAUCUUUGAACGCACCUUGCGCUCCUUGGUAUUCCGAGGAGCAUGCCUGUUUGAGUGUCAUUAAAUUCUCAACCCUUCUAGCUUUUGUGAGCUGUGAUAGGGCUUGGAACUUGGGAGUUUGCGGGCCUAUAGAAGGUCGGCUCUUCUGAAAUGCAUUAGCGGAACCGUUUGCAGUCCCGUCACUAGUGUGAUAAU